rnacentral:lncRNA from 1 species
AAAGAUAAAACACCGGAGUGAUUGCCGCACACGCCCUCAUGGACUUCUCUUAAUACGUAAGUAGCCUCUUCUCCUCUAAUGCAUCGUAAGAGUGGAGAGGAGAAGCUCCUCUUAUAGAGAACAUCAUCAACGAAGAGGAAGUGGGCUAACCUCCUCCUUAGCUUGUAGGCCUCAUGCUUGUUAGUGGGAAGUACCUGGUCUUUGAGGUACGCUAUGAUUGGC